UCCGGCUUACCACCGGCGGUCCCUUUAGAGUGCCCAACUUAAUGGUGGCAACUAGAGGCGAGGGUUGCGCUCGUUGCGGGACUUAACCCAACAUCUCACGACACGAGCUGACGACAGCCAUGCAGCACCUGUCUCCGGUCCAGCCGAACUGAAGAACUCCAUCUCUGGAGUCCGCGACCGGGAUGUCAAGGGCUGGUAAGGUUCUGCGCGUUGCGUCGAAUUAAACCACAUGCUCCACCGCUUGUGCGGGCCCCCGUCAAUUCCUUUGAGUUUCAGUCUUGCGACCGUACUCCCCAGGUGGAUUACUUAAUGCUUUUGCUCAGACGCGUACGGUGUAUUGCACACAUCGAGUAAUCAUCGUUUAGGGCGUGGACUAC
rnacentral:misc_RNA from 1 species